UACCAAAAUUUUAAGGAUUCGAACCUGGGUUAUUGCGGCCACAACGCAAUGUCCUAACCACUAGACGAUCACGGC
rnacentral:tRNA from 1 species